GUUACCACGUAUGUGGAGAGAGAGAGAGAGAAAUGAGAUAUGUAUACAUAUGUAUAUAAUUCAUUUUUUUCCCAAUAGCCAUCUAAAAUGUGUAUCUCAGUAUGUAGGAAGUUCACUUGCUUUCAGAAUGAAGAUAGGCUGUUCCUAAUACUACCUUAAGAGAGAAACAAUGCAUUAAAAGAUAAUUUUGUGCUGUAAUGAGUCAUUCAUAGUGGGAACCUCAAUUCUUACUUGUUUAUAUCUUUUUAACCAUUUCUGAAAGCAGCUUCUCAGAAUGCCUAGUCAGAUAAUUGCUACCAAAAUGUAAAUUAAUGUUUAACACUGUCUGCAUACUGCAUUUCAUAUGUAAAUAUGCAUAUUUGAUUUUAUGGGUGGGAUUUUUCUUAUCAACUUAAGACACCUAAACUGAAACCUCUAAAUUGUGAGAGUGUUGCAAUAUUAUUACAGUAUGUUCAGUCAGGGGUCUUUUGCACCUGUUUUGAAGAGAAGGCAUAAACAACAUGAAGAACUAAAGUUUUGAAAUGGCAAAUGAAUAUAACUUUUUUAAAACAGCUUUGAAGCACUAAAAUGUGUGUGUUAAAUUAUAGCUCUGAAUAGGUGCUAUGCAUUAGAGUAAUAAUUAGUAAUUAAUUAGUAAUAUUUGGAGUUUUAUGCUCUUGUAAUUUUCAGUAGUCACAGAUGGAUAGAAACAUAACACAAAUCUGAAGAAAUUGGUAAGGAUGGAUGACAUUAAGCCAUAGCUUUUAAUAAAACAAAAAUGUAUUUCAGCAUAUUUUUAACAAUACCAUGUUCAAAAAAUGUUGUGUUCUACCUGAUCUGUAUUCUGAGUUGUUUUAUACUUAUUUUUCUUUUUGGUUGCUGCUACAAGGACAACAGUACUAUUUUUGAGAAAGAUCAUUGUUUAAAUAAACAUUUUAUUCAAAUUUGUAUAUAUUAUGUACUUACACUGUAGCAUGAUUCAAUCAUAUUUUGUAGAAUAUUCUGCAUCAGAUGAGCGUAGUCUACGUUAUCUCCUUCAGUUCUUAAUGACUCCAUCUUUGCUGUGGUUGUCAAAACUUCUGAACUUUGUCUUUUUAGAUAAAACCUGCUGAAAUUACUCUUGGCCACAUUUGUUACUAGUACUGCCAGUACUAGAAAUACUCGAAUAGUUUUUGGUAUACAGCAGACACUUUAUCGCAACGUUCAAAAGUAUUCAUAUUACGUUUACAUUUUUCUGUCUUCACUUUGACUAAAAUCCUGUGACAAGCCGACUACUUAAAAAGCAAAAAUGUGAGGAUGGAAGCUGAUUCCUGUUUUGUGGACUAGAACUGACAUGCCUUUUCAAGAACAAUCAGCCUUCUCAGAGUCUUAAGAGAUUUUGAGAGAUGGAAAUAAAAACUAACCGGUAUGCGUUGAGCUUGUGAUCCAUUUUUGAUUUGAUAAUACAAAACUGAACUUUCAAAUAAAAUCAAGCUUUUUGGCUGAGGACAAAUGAAGAGGUUGGAUUCCAUUGCAGCAUAAUUGUUUUAGAGUUUGAGGUAAACCUAUGAAGGUAGACAAGUAACUGAUCAGCGUUAAUACAGAAGGUUGUAGAAUCCAUGCUGACUCCUUCCAUUUUAGAUCUUCCUGAAAUAGAGUCUGUUAAGGUGCUUAAAUUCUCAGUACUCUUUGCUGAUAAAUGUAUGGACAAGCCUGUUUUAGUUGUUUUGCAGCUUUGCUUGGAUGACAUGGGACUCUUUCACUAAUUUCUUCAGAUGCUGGAGUGAGUCUGGGGUCUUAAUAUACAACAGGAAAGAUAUUUAGGAUACUGUGAGGUGAAUCAAAAGCAUAAGGGCUUCUAUCCUGAACUAUGGCAAUGAGGCACAGACUCAGACAUGAACAAUCCAAAUCAUUUAUUAUAGGCUCCCACAUAACCUCUAUACAUUCACAAGAUUCCUUUUGAGCUUUCCCAUCCACGGUUACAACUUUUCCAUCUGCCUUUACAUGUCAAUAAAGUAUUGCACAAACACUCCUUAGUCAUGCAUACAAGUGCUUAUCCAACCAGAGCCAUGGACUGUUCCUUUGGCUUUUUUCUUCUUCUAGAGCUGGCCUUGGUUCUCAGCAUUGCUUCCUCAUGCUGUUUGUCUUGCUUCACAACUGCUGCUCUGAAUAGUCUUUCUUGUAUUCUCACCAUUCCCCCUUUUUAAUUUAUUAGCAAACUAUCACCACACUAUAAAAUAAUAGCACUAAUUAUAUUAAUAACAUACUAAUCAUAACUCAAUCAAGGCCUUGAAUGAUAACACACUAAACAUAAGAAAAGAGUUACAUAGAAGGUCAUGAUUUUUUUAGCUGAUAUGUGCACACUCACACAGGCAAUCUUAGACAAUUCCAUGAGUGGGAAAUGGAAGCUCCCUAAGCUAAUAUGCUAUUACUUAUUAACUCCUGAGAGACAGGAAACCACCAGAAAGGAGAGAGAAGGAACAUGCCGGCAUUGAAUGUGAUAGGCAGUGCCAGCAGGACAUUCCCUGCUUCAAAGUGCACUUGUCUUCUGUCACCCACAACAGACUCUCUCCUGUUUUUAUUCUUUUCAGGGCCUGCAUUGUUUUUUCCAUUUGUACUCCACAUCCCGGUGACCAGUGUGUGAUGCAGAGCCCAAGCGGAACAACUGCUCAAAAAAAACAAACUAUUGAAGCUAGCUCUCUCUACAAACAAAACACAUGCAGAAAGUAUUCACAGUCACAGCUGCUUAUUCCCAUGGUUUCUUGCUGACCAGUGUGAGAGUGUUGCCAUCUGCUCACUGACAUAUUACUAACUGGAUCCAUAUUGCCCAACUUGUCAUUAACUUGAACAAGCUUUGUUAAUCACAACUCUUACACAGGAUAUAAUGCAAAGAAUACAGGUCCUGGCAAACCGGUAUGUGAUUGGAUGUGUAUUAUAAAAUAUGGUUCCUAUGGAGAGACACAAAGACUAUACAGCAGCAUGAACAGUUGGUAAUUAGAAAUGUCUCUUAGAUAUGAUCCUUCUAUUCUGGUCACUAUUCCUAUAACAUAGGCUGAAUCAGUGACGAUGUUAAUUAGACUGGACCACUUUUGAAAUACUCUUACAACUGCAGCUAAUUCUACAAUUCGUGGAGAGCCUUUAAUUGUCUAAAUAUCCAACUGCCAUCAGCCGGAUGUGUCCUGCCAUACGAUUACCGACUGACCUGUUCUCCCUGACCCAUUUGUGAAUACAGUCAAGGUGCUUAAGGGUACCAAGGAACAUUUUGGCAUUUCCUGCAUAUUAAAAUGCAUUUGUAGCAAGUUA